GCUUUCCUGUGGCUCAGUUGGUAGAGCAUUGCACUAACUAUGCAAAAGGUCAUGGGUUCACAUCCCAGGGAAAGCA